AUGUUGAUAGUAUAUUAAAGUACAGUUGCCUUCCAAGCAGAAAAACCAAAAAUGGUCAACAUA
rnacentral:tRNA from 1 species